rnacentral:rRNA from 1 species
GAUGAACGCUAGCGAUAGGCUUAACACAUGCAAGUCGAGGGGCAGCACAAGGUAGCUUGCUAUCUGGGUGGUGACCCGCGCACGGGUGCGUAACGCGUAUGCAACUUUCCCUAUACAGGAGGAUAACCCGUCGAAAGACGGACUAAUCCUGCGUAUGCCCACAACUUGUCAUCACGCGGUGAGGUAAGAAAUUCGGUAUAGAAAAGCCAUGCGUCCCAUUAGCUUGUUGGUGAGGUAACGGCUCACCAAGGCAACGAUGGGUAGGGGAACUGGCAGGUGUAUACCCCACACGGGUACUGGAACACGGACCAGGCUCCUACGGGAGGGAGCAGACAGGAAUAUUAGUCAAUGGGCGCGAGCAUGAGACAGCCAAGGCGAGUGAAGGAUGACUGUCUUAUGGAUGGUAAGCUUCUUUUAGACGGGAAUAGCAAGAGUACCGUGUGACUCCAUGAAUGUACCGUAUGAAUAAGCAUCGGCUAACUCCGUG